rnacentral:rRNA from 1 species
GAUGAACGCUAGCGGCAGGCUUAAUACAUGCAAGUCGAGGGGCAGCAUGGUGUAGCAAUACACUGAUGGCGACCGGCAAACGGGUGCGGAACACGUACACAACCUCCCUUCGAGCGGGGCAUAGCCCAGAGAAAUUUGGAUUAAUACCCCAUAGAAUAUUGGAAAGGCAUCUUUUUGAUAUUAAAGAUUUAUCACUUGAAGAUGGGUGUGCGGCUGAUUAGGUAGUUGGCGGGGUAACGGCCCACCAAGCCUUCGAUCAGUAACUGGUGUGAGAGCACGACCCGUCACACGGGCACUGAGACACGGGCCCGACUCCUACGGGAGGCAGCAGUAAGGAAUAUUGGUCAAUGGACGAAAGUCUGAACCAGCCAUGCCGCGUGGAGGAUGAAGGUCCUCUGGAUUGUAAACUUCUUUUAUAUGGGACGAAAAAGGGGCUUUCUAGCUCAACUGACGGUACCAUAUGAAUAAGCACCGGCUAACUCCGUGCCAGCCGCCGCGGUAAUAC